GCAUGUUUUAAAACGAAUGGCUGAAUCCUUAUAUAUUUUUUCUUAGAAUUGUACAUCCGAGCAGAAUCGGAAAACGAUGACAACCCUUUACAAUCUGAAACAGCUUCUCAAAGGGCUUCCCGUGAUCUGUCCAAUCGCAAUCCCAGUCCACCGGGUGUUUUAACGCAAGUGCUGGACGGUUUAAAAAAUCUAUCAGUCUACCAAAACUGCAAGAACCUACAGACCGCACAAUCACCCCCACUCUCUGAGAGCAGCUUUCAGCAUUCUCCUCUACCAUCUGAGAUCAGCCUCCAUUCAGCCCUCCUGCAGUUCCCUUUGCCAUCAAUUCCUCGCUCCGACUAUGGGCCUCGGCGUAGAAUUCGUCAUUCACCCCUAUGUUCCCAUCAUCAGUACAACGGGCGGAGCCGCCAAGAAAGACUAGAGCGGCAGCCGGUAGCUGCGGACCUUCGCCGCCAAGAAAGACUGGAGCGACGGCAGGUGGCUGCGGACCUUCGCCGCCAAGAAAGACUGGAGCAACGGCAGGUGGCUGCGGACCUUCGUCGCCAAGAAAGACUGGAGCGGGCGCAGUUGGCUGCG